CCUACGGGUGGCAGCAGUGAGGAAUAUUGGUCAAUGGACGCAAGUCUGAACCAGCCAUGCAGCGUGCAGGAUGACGGCUCUAUGAGUUGUAAACUGCUUUUGUACAGGGGUAAACCCCGAUACGUGUGUCGUUUUGACUGUAUUUUAUGAAUAAGAAUCGGCUCACUCCGUGCCAGCAGCCGCGGUAAUACGGAGGAUCCGAGCGUUAUCCGGAUUUAUUGGGUUUAAAGGGAGCGUAGACGGUUUGGUAAGUUAGAUGUGAAAUGUCGGGGCUAAACCACAAAACUGCAUGUGAUACUGGUAGACUUGAGUACAGUUGAGGUAGGCGGAAUUCGUGGUGUAGCGGGGAAAUGCUUAGAUAUCAUGCAGAACACCGAUUGCGAAGGCAGCUUACUAAACUAUAACUGACGUUGAGGCACGAAAGUGUGGGUAGCAAACAGGAUUAGAUACCCGAGUAGUC
rnacentral:rRNA from 1 species